rnacentral:rRNA from 1 species
AUACGUAGGGGGCGAGCGUUGUCCGGAAUGAUUGGGCGUAAAGGGCGCGUAGGCGGCCCGGUAAGUCUGGAGUGAAAGUCCUGUUUUUAAGAUGGGAAUUGCUUUGGAUACUGUCGGGCUUGAGUGCAGGAGAGAUAAGUGGAAUUCCCAGUGUAGCGGUGAAAUGCGUAGAGAUUGGGAGGAACACCAGUGGCGAAGGCGACUUACUGGACUGUAACUGACGCUGAGGCGCGAAAGUGUGGGGAGCAAACAGGAUUAGAUACCCUGGUAGUCCACACUGUAAACGAUGAAUGCUAGGUGUAGGGGGUAUCGACCCCUUCUGUGCCGCAGUCAACACAAUGAGCAUUCCGCCUGGGGAGUACGGCCGCAAGGUUGAAACUCAAAGGAAUUGACGGGG